UCACAAGAGAUUGCUACUAAGAUGGGAUUUCGCCAGGAUCCACAGUUUGCACCUUGUACCAGCAUGCUCCCUGGUACAUCCACUGGACUGAAUGUUCCUCAAAGACCUGCCAAGGCCCCUGUUCUCGGUCUUGAUGCUCAAGGUAGGGAAAUCGAUGAGCAUGGAAAUGUUAUCAGCAUGACCAAGCCAAGCAACCUGAGUACUCUGAAGGUCAACAUUAACAAGCAGAAGAAGGAUGCAUUCCAAAUUAUCAAACCAGACUUGGAGUCGCUUGCAAAAUCCACUGUUCAUUUUGAUGAAAGGAUGGGCAUCAACCCAACCAAGCUCCUUCGUCCUAAAAGGCCAGGAUUCCAGUUUAUUGAGGAAAAACUUUCGAGGGAGGCUGAAUUGCAGAGGAUUAAGAAUCAAUUUGGUGAAGCACAAGCCAAAGAGCUUAAGGUAAAGCAAGCUCAACUUGCCAAGGCAAAGGUCGAAGCUGACAUGAAUCCAAACCUAAUUGAAAUUGCUCCUGGUGGAAGGCCUCCAAAGCAGAAGCGGAAGGAAGAGAUUCCUGACAUUGAGCCAUGGGACUCAAAAAUCCUGAUAUCUGCCACGUACGAGGACAUCUCCUUGGAAAAGCUUAAUAUGGAUAGGAUCACCAUCUACGUGCAACAUCCAGAGCCAUUGGAACCACCGGCUAAGCCCAUGACACCACCGCCUCAGCCACUUAAGCUUACUAACAAUGAGCAGAAGAAGUAUAGAACACAGAGGCGCCUCGCUACGGAAAAAGAUAGACAAGAAAUGAUUAGGCAAGGCCUCUUGGAGCCACCAAAGCCCAAGGUCAAGAUGAGCAACCUUAUGAAAGUACUUGGUGCACAGGCUACACAGGACCCGACACACAUGGAGAUGGAAAUAAGAGCGGCUGCUGCAGAGCGUGAGCAGGCUCACGUGGACCGCAACAUUGCCCGCAAACUCACACCAUCUGAGCGCCGUGAGAAAAAGGAGAGGAAGCUUUUUGAUGAUCCUGACACAUUAGACUAUUUCACUAUUUGUGUGUACAGAAUCAGAGACCUGUCGCACAGUGAGGCACACUUUAAAGUGGAUGUGAAUGCCCGAGACAACCGGUUGACUGGCGCUGCAGUUAUCACGGAUGGUGUAAGUGUUGUGGUUGUGGAAGGAGGGGGGAAGUCGAUCAAGAGGUACAAUAACCUGAUGCUGAACAGGAUUGACUGGGCUGCUGCAGUUGGCGAUGAGGAUAAUGACGCCGACGAGGAACCAGACAAGCCGGUGAAUAGCUGUGCAUUAGUAUGGCAAGGUAGUGUGGUGAAGUCUGCCUUUCCCAGGUGGUUCGGCGUGCGUUGCCAGAGUGAGGCUGCUGCCAAGAAGGUGUUUUUAGAUGCUAAAGUUGCACACUACUGGGACCUGGCUGUCAACUUCUCGGAUGAUUUGUCUUGA
rnacentral:rRNA from 1 species